GGGGAUUUAGCUCAGUGGUAGAGCGUUCGGUUUGCAUCCGAAAGGCCGUGGGAUCAAUCCCCACAAUCUCCA